rnacentral:tRNA from 1 species
UGGGCUGUACCUCAGUUGGUAGAGGGCUAGACCGUUAAUCUAGCUGUCGUAGGUUCAAAUCCUAUCAGCCCAA